GCCGGGUUACGGUGCCCAACUG
rnacentral:snRNA from 1 species